UACGGAGGGUGCGAGCGUUGUCCGGAAUUACUGGGCGUAAAGAGCUCGUAGGUGGUUUGUCGCGUUGUUCGUGAAAACCGGGGGCUUAACCCUCGGCGUGCGGGCGAUACGGGCAGACUGGAGUACUGCAGGGGAGACUGGAAUUCCUGGUGUAGCGGUGAAAUGCGCAGAUAUCAGGAGGAACACCGGUGGCGAAGGCGGGUCUCUGGGCCGAAACUGACGCUGAGGAGCGAAAGCGUGGGGAGCGAACAGG
rnacentral:rRNA from 1 species